rnacentral:tRNA from 1 species
CAAAAAUGAAGAAUUAAUCUUCUCGGGACA